AGCUUUAUAUUCAAAAUAAAAAUGAUAUAAAAUUGCAAAUUUUAAGGUGUUUAUAAACUAAGGCUU
rnacentral:tRNA from 1 species